rnacentral:rRNA from 1 species
AGUCGACGAACUUCUUUAUCACCGAGUGCUUGCACUCACCGAUAAAGAGUUUAGUGGCGAACGGGUGAGUAACACGUGGGCAACCCGCCCAAAAGAGGGGGAUAACACUUGGAAACAGGUGCUAAUACCGCAUAACCAUAGUUACCGCAUGGUAACUAUGUAAAAGGUGGCUAUGCUACCGCUUUUGGAUGGGCCCGCGACGCAUUAGCUAGUUGGUGGGGUAAAGGCUUACCAAGGCAAUGAUGCGUAGCCGAACUGAGAGGUUGAUCGGCCACAUUGGGACUGAGACACGGCCCAAACUCCUACGGGAGGCAGCAGUAGGGAAUCUUCCACAAUGGGCGAAAGCCUGAUGGAGCAACGCCGCGUGGGUGAAGAAGGUCUUCGGAUCGUAAAACCCUGUUGUUAGAGAAGAAAGUGCGUGAGAGUAACUGUUCACGUUUCGACGGUAUCUAACCAGAAAGCCACGGCUAACUACGUGCCAGCAGCCGCGGUAAUACGUAGGUGGCAAGCGUUAUCCGGAUUUAUUGGGCGUAAAGAGAACGCAGGCGGUCUUUUAAGUCUGAUGUGAAAGCCUUCGGCUUAACCGGAGUAGUGCAUUGGAAACUGGGAGACUUGAGUGCAGAAGAGGAGAGUGGAACUCCAUGUGUAGCGGUGAAAUGCGUAGAUAUAUGGAAGAACACCAGUGGCGAAAGCGGCUCUCUGGUCUGUAACUGACGCUGAGGUUCGAAAGCGUGGGUAGCAAACAGGAUUAGAUACCCUGGUAGUCCACG